GGGGCCGUCGUCUAGCCUGGACUAGGAUGCCAGCCUGGGGCUCGCUGGUGGCCCGGGUUCAAAUCCCGGCGGCCCCACCA
rnacentral:tRNA from 1 species